UUAUUUCACUGUCCAAUUGCCCAGUUUCAUCUUGAGUGGGUCAGACCGGUAUAAUAGUGUCAUAAUAACCUUGAAAUUUACGCUCAACAAAGGUUUUCUUU